UACGUAGGGUCCGAGCGUUGUCCGGAAUUACUGGGCGUAAAGAGCUCGUAGGUGGUUUGUCGCGUUGUUCGUGAAAACUCACAGCUCAACUGUGGGCGUGCGGGCGAUACGGGCAGACUUGAGUACUGCAGGGGAGACUGGAAUUCCUGGUGUAGCGGUGGAAUGCGCAGAUAUCAGGAGGAACACCGGCGGCGAAGGCGGGUCUCUGGGCAGUAACUGACGCUGAGGAGCGAAAGCGUGGGGAGCGAACGGG
rnacentral:rRNA from 1 species